UAAGGAAUAUUGGUCAAUGGAGGGAACUCUGAACCAGCCAUGCCGCGUGAAGGAUGACGGCCCUCUGGGUUGUAAACUUCUUUUGGAUGGGGCGAAAAAACGGGAUUUAUCCUGGACUGACGGUACCAUCAGAAUAAGCACCGGCUAACUCCGUGCCAGCAGCCGCGGUAAUACGGAGGGUGCAAGCGUUAAUCGGAAUUACUGGGCGUAAAGGGUGCGCAGGCGGUUUUGCAAGUCAGAUGUGAAAGCCCCGGGCUUAACCUGGGAAUUGCGUUUGAAACUACAAGGCUAGAGUGCAGCAGAGGGGAGUGGAAUUCCAUGUGUAGCAGUGAAAUGCGUAGAGAUGUGGAAGAACACCGAUGGCGAAGGCAGCUCCCUGGGGUUGACACUGACGCUCAUGCA
rnacentral:rRNA from 1 species